UACGUAGGGUGCGAGCGUUGUCCGGAAUUAUUGGGCGUAAAGAGCUUGUAGGCGGUCUGUCGCGUCUGCUGUGAAAAUCCGGGGCUCAACCCCGGACUUGCAGUGGGUACGGGCAGACUAGAGUGUGGUAGGGGGAGACUGGAAUUCCUGGUGUAGCGGUGAAAUGCGCAGAUAUCAGGAGGAACACCGAUGGCGAGGCAGGUCUCUGGGCCACUACUGACGCUGAGAGCGAAAGCGUGGGGAGCAAACAGG
rnacentral:rRNA from 1 species